rnacentral:rRNA from 1 species
GAUGAACGCUGGCGGCGUGCUUAACACAUGCAAGUCGAACGGUAAGGCCCCUCGGGGUACACGAGUGGCGAACGGGUGAGUAACACGUGGGUGAUCUGCCCUGCACUUCGGGAUAAGCCUGGGAAACUGGGUCUAAUACCGGAUAGGACCCUGGGAUGCAUGUCCUGGGGUGGAAAGCUUUUGCGGUGUGGGAUGGGCCCGCGGCCUAUCAGCUUGUUGGUGGGGUGAUGGCCUACCAAGGCGACGACGGGUAGCCGGCCUGAGAGGGUGACCGGCCACACUGGGACUGAGAUACGGCCCAGACUCCUACGGGAGGCAGCAGUGUGGAAUAUUGCACAAUGGGCGCAAGCCUGAUGCAGCGACGCCGCGUGAGGGAUGACGGCCUUCGGGUUGUAAACCUCUUUCAGCACCGACGAAGCGCAAGUGACGGUAGGUGCAGAAGAAGGACCGGCCAACUACGUGCCAGCAGCCGCCGUAA